UACGGGGGGGGCAAGCGUUAUUCGGAAUCAUUGGGCGUAAAGGGCGCGUAGGCGGUCUCUUAUGUCAGAUGUGAAAGCCCUCGGCUCAACCGAGGAAGUGCAUUUGAAACUGAGAGAAUUGAGUAUGGGGGAGGGAAGCGGAAUUCCUGGUGUAGCGGUGAAAUGCGUAGAUAUCAGGAGGAACACCGGUGGCGAAGGCGGCUUCCUGGACCAAUACUGACGCUGAGGCGCGAAGGCGUGGGGAGCAAACAGG
rnacentral:rRNA from 1 species